rfam:Dictyostelium purpureum unplaced genomic scaffold DICPTscaffold_20, whole genome shotgun sequence.
AAAAAGGUGUUUUUUAACACCAUCCAAAAUAUAAAAUCUUAUUAUA